GGAGAGGUGGCAGAGUGGUCUAAUGCGCAUCGUUGGAAACGAUGUGUACCGCAAGGUACCGCAGGUUCGAAUCCUGUCCUCACCG
rnacentral:tRNA from 1 species